rnacentral:rRNA from 1 species
GGUUAAGCGACUAAGCGUACACGGUGGAUGCCCUGGCAGUCAGAGGCGAUGAAGGGCGUGCUAAUCUGCGAUAAGCGCCGGUAAGGUGAUAUGAACCGUUAUAACCGGCGAUACCCGAAUGGGGAAACCCAGUGUGAUUCGUCACACUAUCAUUAACUGAAUCCAUAGGUUAAUGAGGCGAACCGGGGGAACUGAAACAUCUAAGUACCCCGAGGAAAAGAAAUCAACCGAGAUUCCCCCAGUAGCGGCGAGCGAACGGGGAGGAGCCCAGAGCCUGAAUCAGCAUGUGUGUUAGUGGAAGCGUCUGGAAAGGCGCGCGAUACAGGGUGACAGCCCCGUACACAAAAGCGCAUGUGCUGUGAGCUCGAUGAGUAGGGCGGGACACGUGAGUAGGGCGGGACACGU